rnacentral:lncRNA from 1 species
AAAGGAAGUCUAAAUCGGAGGUGGGGUUGCUCCGGCAAGACCCUCCGACGCUCAAGUCAGUUUUCUGCCUCAACAAGAAUGGAGUGCUCGAACGGAGAAUUUAGCAGAGUUUUGAGAUAAGAAAAUGAGCUUAUAGAAUAACGUAUCUGAGUCCCCCUUUUAUAGGUGGAGGAGGUAACGGAUUGAUGGCGACGUUGGUAACCGUCUGGUAGUGGGCCGCUCGUAGUCAGGGGGACUUUAUUGCGAAGGGUAGUGGAGCGGAAUCGUGGCUAUCGCCGUAGCUCGCCACGUGGAAUCAGUUGCGAGGAGUGGAGCAGGAUCGUGGCCGUUAUUGCGGCCUGCCAUGAAGUAAUGGAGUCACGCAGCACCUGCCGCAGGGAGCGGAGCAGAAUCAUGGCCGUUGAUACAGCCUGUCAGAGAGUAAUG